CCUGUAGUAUUUUCACGCAUGGCGUGGGCCGUGGGCCUCCCAACUCCCAACCGAGAGAGGGCCUCCCUCCCGUCCCGCGACGGCGGCGGAAGUCCACCGCCGGCGACAUGUCUCCUCCUGCCCCUCCCGCCAGGUUGUACCCCGCUCCGCGCCGCAGAAACCUUAUACGGUUCGCCUCGCCCUCCCCGCUGCUCGCGACACAGCGCGCAAACUCAGCUCACAACCCUGCCCCUGCGGCCCAGCCCCACCGCCGCCUCAGCGCCGUGGGUACGGUACGGCCAUGGGAGCUGCAAAUCCCACCGGAAGGCGAACCGUGAACAUACACCGGUGAUGAUCCUGUAGAUGGUGAUGUGGCAGCUGACGGCUACCCCAAGUACAAGACUAUUUACAGUGAGGCUGCCUUGGUAUGAUCCAUUUUUCAAAGGGGGGUGGGUGGAUGGGACAGGGAGUCGGGGAGCAGGAUAUUUUGUAGGUAGUAGCUCAUAGAAAUGUUGGUUGGUUAAGACAAGCCUUUUGUCAACAUGACUCGUUAAUGUGUGGUUUAUGUGAUACAAAAUCGUAAUCAUUACUAUUUGUUUUAAUACGAAUCUAAUAACAUCAAUUUUAUCUCUUGUGUUACAUAAAUUGCAUACUGAUGAUGUUAUUGUUGGUCUGAGGCUUGUCUUAACCAUUUAAGAUAUGGCUUAUGAUAAUAGCAGAUUUGGUACAAGUGUUUGACUAUGCGUAGUGUAUGCAGAAAUCUCUUCAUAAUGGUGCCCAGUAGUUCUGAUCUUCUGAUGUGGUUCUGAAACCAAGAUCCAUACAAGAAAGAUUCUGCAUUCCACAAGACUAGUCAAACGAUUUUACAAAAUAAGAACGGUUCUACAUGAUUACUGCUCCUCCUUAACUAACUCUAGCUCCUCUAGGGAUGGUAGUUGAUGCUGGUAAAUUUUGCAUGCUAAUAACAUUCUAUCCUUUACUCGUGUUUAUUCCAGGAGGAUAUCAAAUUAAUGACAGAGACUGGGCUGGCUGCUUAUAGGUUCUCUAUCUCUUGGUCAAGGCUUAUUCCUUAUGGCAGAAGAGAAGUCAAUCCAAAAGGAUUAGAGUACUACAAUGAUCUCAUCAAUGAACUCCUUGAUCAUGGUAAAUCUUGUACGAAAAGAUAUUUAUGUACCAAUUAAUCUAAUCAUCAUGAAGACUCAUAUAUAAAGGUAGUAGAUCAGUCAUAUGGAAAUGAUACCAGUAUGUUUUGAGCAGGGCCUUAGACCCUUGAAUUUCUAGUUGGCUGAAAUUCUACUCCUGAGCCUGGACCAGGGAGUAAGCCCAGGAAUGCUGAGCUGAGCUGGACUGGACUGCCAAUGAACAUGUCUAGUUUAACUUACUCAUCCUGCUUCCAUUUGUAUUUAUUUACUCCUUCCGGUCCAUAAUAAGUGUCUUAGAUUUAAUACAACUUUGUACUAAGUACAAAAUCUGAGACACUUAUUGAUCGGAGGGAGUACGUUUUAAUGGUCAAAAUAGAUGUUGAAAUGGAAUUUGAGGGGAUUUAUCUUUUCUUUACACUUAUAAAGAUUCGAGUUGGUGGUCGUCAAUUCACCCAGCAAGACUACCCCCUAGCUUGUCAGAAAUCACUUGAUUGUCACCCUUUCAAUAUUGUACAUAUGUGUUGCAACCAUUUGACUGUAGUGAUUGGUUUGACAUAUACUUUUGACAUAGUUGUUUUCUCAAGUAAUUUUUUUAAGAGAGUUCUUAUUUAGCAUAAAAUUGGAAAAUAUGAGCACAUCUUUUUUUUAAGAACUCAUGCACGUAAUGCAUAUUUUUAGUUCCGUAGCAACGCACGUGCAUUUAGCUAGUAUCUCUAAGUUUGAGUUAGAUUGAAAGUGACAUAGAUGAAGAAUGCCAUUGAAAAACACAUAUACUGCAAUAGUCAGUAUGUUCAUACUUUGGCAAAGUACUAUGUAUAUUUUGACUGCCGAUUAAUAUUCCAAGUAUCUUGCAGGAAUCCAACCACAUGUUACCAUUUUACAGUAUGAUCUUCCUCAAAUCCUUGAAGAUGAAUAUGAUGGAUGGUUGAGUCCUCAAAUCAUGUAUGCAUCUUAGUUCAUGCAUUACAUGUUUUGUCUUCACUAAUGAGAAGUUUGAUUGGUUAGUUGAUAGUGUUUACUAUGAAGUGUGUGUUCUACAUAGUUGUGUUACACAUAUCAUCCAAUGUAUGUGGAUAUGCUUUGCCUUAACGAAAAAGAUUCUAGCGAAGAUGAAUACCAAUUAGAAGCCUUUUAAUGGCCUGCCCACCAAGGAUGGCAUUAGCUUUGUGUUACACAUAUCAUCCAAUGUAUCUUGAAUUUGUGCCACCGCAACCUGCUCUUGGACUUGUUAAAAAAUUUAUUGUUCU